UUCAGGUUGAGUAUAUCCAUGCAUACUCCAGUUUUUUCUAUGUUUAUUUACUCUUACCUGUGCUUUUUAUUAACCUGUGCAUACGUUGACUAUGAAUAAGACUAUGGUUUAUGUCUCUGCUGCUGAUUCUGAUGAAAAGGAAUGUUAUUGUUUGAUUUGAAAAUUUAUCUAUGAAAUCUUAUCGACAUUGACAACAAUGAAUUUGGUUAUGAUACUUGAAUACAAUAAAAUCAAAAUCGAGUUUUAUUCUUAAUAUUUCAAACACUAUUGUGGUUCACUUGAGAUUGAUUUUCGAAGCAAUUGAACUGUUCCGUCCCAGAUUGAGUAGACUUUAUGCCUUGGCUGCAUGAGGGUAUUGUCUGAUAGGCUUGAUAAGGAGGUUGAAAAUGUUAACAGGGACAUUGAAGCAUAUGAGGCCUGUCUUAAACAUUUGGAGGGGGAAGCUAGAGAUGAUUUUAGUGAAGCUGACUUUCUCAAGGAGAAAUUGAAGGAAAAUUGGAAUCGAGCAGCACAAAUCUAAAAGCUGAAUGGUUGAAUUUGCUUUGAUUUAAUGACUCAAUGUUGCUGCAUCUAGAUUCGGAUACUAUGAAUUAGACUUUGUGGUACUCUUUUGUUUAUUGGAAUGAAUGAAUUUAGGGAGGGUUUGGUUUUCUUCUGAAUGGAGCUGAAAUUAUUUCCUUGAUUUGAGUAAUUAAUAAUAAUAAUUAAGUUCUACUGCCUGUGCAACCUGUAACUGAAAACAACGCCAAUCUGAAGACAUGCUUCUUUCAUGUUCUCUUCAAGGCUGCAGCAUUGCCACUUUACGUACUCUCGGCGAUAACUUUGUCAUCAUUUUUGUGAUGACUGUCCUUCUUGGUGCCCUUAAAAAAAAUUAUUUCAGCAGGCUCCAGCAUUAGCAUCUUAGCAAAAAAUUAAUUGGAUAUAAGAAAAAUAGUCAGCAAUCUCUUCUCCAAAAUCACAGGUUUUUGAUAAGAAUUCAACAGCUGAGUGCGACGAAGAAGGUUGUGCAAGGACAUGAAAGGUGCUUGAAGCUGGAAAGUGCACAAACUUUGGUGUGGCUUAGUCACCGGGUGUAAGACUUUAUCCCAGGUUUUAUGUUAUUUUGGUGUUUGGAGUUGGCUCGGGUUCUAGUGGUGACUGGUGAGGAAAGAAGUUGAGACUGUGACUGCUUUCAUUGUGUAUGGUAUUCUUUUCGGCCAGGUGAGGUUGUUUCUGAGUUCUCUUAGCCAUUGUAUUUCACUUUUUUACUAUUUAUUCAUGGUUUGGUUUAUUUUCAUGAUGAUAUAAUUAAUAAUUUGUUUCCUUUUGCUGUUGUUUUGUAAUUUUUAACUAUUUUUUAUUGUUAAAACUAUAAUUGAAGCUUAAAUUUUCUUAAACAAUUUAAUAACUUUGAGUUCUAUUGAUUUUUUGCACAACUCAACUCUCUAUUAGAUACAAUUGUCACAGUUAGCUUGCGAUGUUUAUUCUAUUUUAUUCUUAAUAUAUCUUCAUUUUCAUGUGAUGUAGAAAUUUUCCUCAAGGAACAAUAAGUGACAUGGUAAAUGAUGCUUCUCAAGGAAUCUCUUUUAUCAUCAAUAACAUAGCUAAUUAUGUCUUUGUGCUUGCAAUAAGUAAAAACAAAAAAGAAAAGAGAAAAAAAGAACUAGAUAUGAGUAUCAAGUGUUACCAAUGAUGGAUUUUAUAUUUGUGAUAAGCUUAGUUACUAGAACUUCACUUCGUACUUUCUUUAGAUAUUGGAGAUUUGCUGUAGCAAGGAUAGUAUGGUAAAUGAAAUGAAAGAAACUAACAAAGCUGAUAUCAAGAAUAGUUGAGAAGUUAUUUGCUGAGUUAAGGUAGUUAGUUAUUGUUAGUUAGUGCAGUUUCUUAUUUUGGUAUGAGGAUUGAGGAGGCUACUGCUAUGUGUAUAAUAGGAGCAUUAUGUACCAAUGCCAAAAUGAUUCUAAUUCAGUUCUAUUCUGCAUUAUUCUCUGUUUUCUUUUCUUCUUUGUAUUCGUCUUUUUGCUAACUAAGCAUU